rnacentral:rRNA from 2 species
UUCGUAGGUGAACCUGCGGAAGGAUCAUUAC